rnacentral:tRNA from 1 species
AGCGGGGUGGGGUAGCCAGGAUAUCCCGUCGGGCUCAUAACCCGGAGAUCGAUGGUUCAAAGGCGACGGAGGAUG